AUUAGUUAGUUGGUAAGGUAACGGCUUACCAAGACGAUGAUGGGUAGGGGUCCUGAGAGGGAGAUCCCCCACACUGGUACUGAGACACGGACCAGACUCCUACGGGAGGCAGCAGUGAGGAAUAUUGGUCAAUGGGCGCAAGCCUGAACCAGCCAUGCCGCGUGCAGGACGACGGCCCUAUGGGUUGUAAACUGCUUUUGUACGGGAAGAAACACUCCUUCGUGAAGGAGCUUGACGGUACCGUAAGAAUAAGGAUCGGCUAACUCCGUGCCAGCAGCCGCGGUAAUACGGAGGAUCCAAGCGUUAUCCGGAAUCAUUGGGUUUAAAGGGUCCGUAGGCGGCCCUGUAAGUCAGUGGUGAAAUCUUUCGGCUCAACCGGAAAAUUGCCAUUGAUACUGCAGGGCUUGAAUUAUCGGGAAGUGACUAGAAUAUGUAGUGUAGCGGUGAAAUGCUUAGAGAUUACAUGGAAUACCGAUUGCGAAGGCAGGUCACUACCGGUGGAUUGACGCUGAUGGACGAAAGCGUGGGGAGCGAACAGGAUUAGAUACCCUGGUAGUCCACGCCGUAAACGAUGGAUACUAGCUGUUCGG
rnacentral:rRNA from 1 species